rnacentral:piRNA from 1 species
UCCCCGAUGCAAGAUGGAAAAUUGCUCAAACA